UACAGAGGGGGCAAGCGUUGUUCGGAAUUACUGGGCGUAAAGGGCGCGUAGGCGGCUUUCUAAGUCGAACGUGAAAUCCCUGGGCUCAACCCAGGAACUGCGUCCGAUACUGGAAGGCUUGAAUCCGGGAGAGGGAUGCGGAAUUCCAGGUGUAGCGGUGAAAUGCGUAGAUAUCUGGAGGAACACCGGUGGCGAAGGCGGCAUCCUGGACCGGUAUUGACGCUGAGGCGCGAAAGCCAGGGGAGCAAACGGG
rnacentral:rRNA from 1 species